UCAUCUACAAUUAAUGUGGUUCCCUGUUAGUUACUUUGUAGGUAUGUGUGGUGAUGGAGCCAAUGACUGUGGGGGAAGGACGUGCAGCUCUCGUUACCUCCUUUUGCAUGUUUAAGUACAUGGCUCUGUACAGCAUGAUUCAGUAUGUUGGUGUUCUGCUGCUCUACUGGGAGACAAACAGCCUUUCAAAUUACCAGUUUCUGUUCCAGGAUCUGGCCAUUACAACUC
rnacentral:sRNA from 1 species